rnacentral:rRNA from 1 species
UACGUAGGGUGCAAGCGUUAUCCGGAAUUAUUGGGCGUAAAGAGCUCGUAGGCGGUUUGUCGCGUCUGCUGUGAAAACUGGAGGCUCAACCUCCAGCCUGCAGUCGAUACGGGCAGGCUAGAGUUCGGCAGGGGAGACUGGAAUUCCUGGUGUAGCGGUGAAAUGCGCAGAUAUCAGGAGGAACACCGGUGGCGAAGGCGGGUCUCUGGGCCGAUACUGACGCUGAGGAGCGGAAAGCGUGGGGAGCGAACAGG